GACGAACGCUGGCGGCGUGCUUAACACAUGCAAGUCGAACGGAAAGGCCCUGCUUUUGUGGGGUGUUCGAGUGGCGAACGGGUGAGUAACACGUGAGUAACCUGCCCUUGACUUUGGGAUAACUUCAGGAAACUGGGGCUAAUACCGGAUAGGAGCUCCUGCUGCAUGGUGGGGUUUGGAAAGUUUCGGCGGUUGGGGAUGGACUCGCGGCUUAUCAGCUUGUUGGUGGGGUAGUGGCUUACCAAGGCUUUAACGGGUAGCCGGCCUGAGAGGGUGACCGGCCACAUUGGGACUGAGAUACGGCCCAUACUCCUACGGGAGGCAGCAGUGGGGAAUAUUGCACAAUGGGCGGAAGCCUGAUGCAGCAACGCCGCGUGCGGGAUGACGGCCUUCGGGUUGUAAACCGCUUUCGCCUGUGACGAAGCGUGAGUGACGGUAAUGGGUAAAGAAGCACCGGCUAACUACGUG
rnacentral:rRNA from 1 species